GUCCCCGGCGUCCGGGCGCCCUGCAUGGAUCCCCCACCCCAGCUCCUGCUCCCCGGCGGCGGCCGGUGGGCAGAAAGACCGAAACCCACUCACGGCCGCCUGCCGAAUCGCGGCUCUGCUGUUUGUGGGGCGUGCUAGAAACGUGGUCCUAAAAAGAAUGGCGUCCAUUUACAUAAUGCUUUGUUUGCGUUUCGCAAGUUUCUUUCGGUUAAAGCCACAGAAACCCCACCUCCUGCCCUUGUGUCGUUUCCACCGCGGCACCCUUUUCCGACAUUAGAAACAAUAGUGUACGCCUGUGGAGGCCUCGUUUGUUCAGGGGCUGCCGGCCAGGGCUUCAGGACGUUUCUGCGGCUUUCCCCGCGCGGCCUGGGCUCCCGCGGCUGCUUUUCGGGCCCAUGGGCGCAGCCACUGCGCCAGGCUCAAGGGGGGCGGCCCCGUCAGGGCCCGCCAUCUUGGAAGGCCUUUUUUGCCGGUUCUUCCCGCUGAGGAAGUGUCGCUCAAGACGCUGGCCUAUGAGUUGUGAUUUCUGCCUUUUCCCCUUCCUCCUUGGGCUAAGCCAGACCAGAAAGGGCCCCGUGCGCAACGUGCUUCACAAUCUCUCAGGGAAAGCGGCUAACGUGGCGCUACUCCGCCUCCCCUGUUCCUUACCCUUGGGGCGGCCGCCAUGUUUCCUGAACACAAAAUGGCGACACGUGGUUAGCAUUCGUCGCCAACGAGAAAUUGGGGUCGGCCCGAAAGCUCUAGAAUGCACCCCUCUUCCUCCCCGGGGCCUUCCACCUCCGCGAGUUUUAUGACUUAAAAAAGCCCACAGGCUGGUCUGAAGGUCGGAGGCCUAAUUUUAACGCGUUUUCCUCCCUUUAAUUUGAAACGGGAACGCGAAUGACUGUAAAAUGUGGGCACAAUAUUUAAUCUCUCGCCUUUUUAAAGCUUAAUAGUGGAUAAUAGGGGGGCAGUAUCAAGGGAUAAUUUGGGUCCCCACAGUACCAAAGCAUUUAGAAACCUCUGUUUAAUUUAAGGAAUGAGAUAAGUUACUGCUUUUCUAGACUUCCUAGCAUGGGCUGUUGUGCUGGAGAGAACGAGAGCUACGAAGAGACUACAGUGCCUCUGACUUUUUCAUAGGACAGUUGGCCGGUGAAUCUUAUUAAUAGUUUACCACAAUUAAGUGUUCAUUUUUAGUCUAGAAGGGACAGGCGUUUAUUGUGCAUUGGCCAGUGCCAGCACAUCCGAUGCAAGGCAGUUCACCGUAUUCUAUCUUUAAUUUUUACCAUGGUCCUCUGAGGUAGGUGUUCUUAUCUCUCUCUCUCUCUCUCUCUUUUAAACAGAGGAAGACAAACAUAAAGAUGAAGUGCUUAAUUCAAGGUCACACAAUGUCGGGGAUGGACCUCCAGAUUUCCUUACUGACCUGCAUUAUCUUGUGGAUACCUGAGUGAAUUCCACACCACCCAUUUUAUAGAUGAAACCACUGAGACAUGGAGCAAUUGACUGAGUAGUCACUGCCCCACCCCUGCCUGGAGCCUCACACAUGACUCGCCUCCUCUCAGUGACCACAGGUUGGUUGAGGGGUUUAACAAGGCUAAGAAGGUGAGACGUGGUCUUGUAACACAGUGGUUAAGAAUGUGACUUUGGAGCCAGCCUGCUAGGGGCUGAAUUCUGACUCAGCCAUUUACUAACUGUGUGACCUUAGGUAAGUCAUUUACCUUCUUUGUCCCUCAGUUUCAUCUCGGUUAAGUAGGGAUAAUGAUAGCACCUAUUUUAUAGGGUUAUUGUGAGGAAUAAAUCCAAGUAAAAUGCUUAGAAUAGUAACUGAAACAUAGCACUCAUUAGGAAUGCUUUAAUUUUCAUUUAUUUGAGUAUUAAAGGUUGAAUUUUCAGAGGUAUUUUGGACCUUUGUAUUUUUUCUUUAAAUCACUUAUUCAUGACUUUUGAACUUUUUUUUUUCUUUUAGAGACAGGGUCUUGGUUUGUUGUCUAGGCUGGAAUGCAGUGGUGCAAUCAUAGCUCACUGUAGCCUUGAACUCUUGGGCUCAAGAGAUCCUCCUGCCUCAGCCUCGUGAGUAGCUGGGCCUACAGGCGCCUGCUACCACACCUGGCUAAUUUUUUAUUUUUUGUAGAGAUGGGUUCUUGCAGCCCAGACUGGUCUUGAGCUUUGGCCUGAAGUGCUCCUCCUGCCUUGGCCUCUCAAAGCAUUGGGGUUACAGGUGUGAAGCACUGCACCUUGCCUACACAUUUUUUCCAAUAAUUUUUUUUAUUAAUUUGUAAGAGUUAACAUGUCGACUAUCAUAUAUAACAUAGAAUUGUUCCCAUUUUGUCAUUUCCUUUCAACUUUGUCUAUGUAGCUUUUUUUCUGUGUGCAAAUUUUACAUUUUUAGGUAGUCAGAAAAUCUCUUCCCUUGUAAUUUUUUCUGCUACUAGACCAAUGUUUAGAAAAAAGCGUGCUUCCCCACCUCAAAAUUAUAAAAAUAGUUACUUGUUCUUUUUGAGUACUGUGUGUGUUUAAAUCUUUAAUCUUUAAAUUUAAAUCUUUGAUCCAUCUGGUAUUUAUUUUGAUAUGAAGAGAGUGGUUGGGAUCUGGCUGUAUUUCUUUUUUCUUUUUUUUUCUUUUUUCUUUUUUUGACGAAGUCUCACUGUUGCUCAGGCUGGAGUGCAAUGGCAUGAUCUCGGCUCAUCACAACCUCUGCUUCCUGGGUUCAAGCGAUUCUCCUGCCUCAGCCUCCCGAGUACCUGGGACUACAGGCACUCGCCACCAUGCCCGGCUGAUUUUUGUAUUUUUAAUAGAGAUGGUUUCACUAUGUUGGCCAGGCUGGUCUCGAACUCCUGACCUUGUGAUCUGCCCACCUCAGCCUCGAAAAGUGCUGGGAUUACAGGCGUGAGCCACUGCGCCCAGCCUUGUAUUUUUUUUCAGUUUGGGUAGCUGUCCCUAAUUCAUUUGUUAAAGGAGAAGCAAGAGCAAGAACCUUUAAUCUGUUCUCCUCUUCCCUAAUUUGAAAGUAGCUUGUUAUUUUGAAUAUCACUUUCUCUGAAAUAGCACAUCUCCAUCUCAGAGAAUGGAUUUAAUGUUUGGAUACAGCCAAAAGUCAUUUCAUUACCAAACCAUGGGGUGAAUAUACCAUGUAAAGCAGUUUGGGAUCAGAACUCACAGUCUGAAUUGUAAGUGAUGAGACUGCUGUCUCUCUGCUACAGCUUCUUGGCUGGCUCUGAAGGCUCUUUGAAGGCAGAUCCUAACAAGGGGACUGCUUUGAAGGGCCAUUGUUCAUUUGGAAUGAUAAAGUCUAUGUUGUUCAAAAAACAAAUGCUUGUAGCAGGUAUUUUUUCACUCCAGACUGAGAAUAUUGGUGGGAUAUUGAUAAGGGGUACUGAAUGGUAAUAAACAUGUGCUCUAGCUCUGUGCUAGUCAGCUUAUUUCAGAACUCUAGUUUGAUUCAGUUUCUUGCCUCUGACUCAAAAUGGAGGGAGAGUGAUUUUUACAUAAGAGAACACACCCACAUAUCCUUUUGGCAGCAGCUACCUGCCAGAGAUGUUGAAGAAGAGUAGCCAACCUUUACACAGCAGAUAUUGUGUGCCAGUCAUAGUCCUAAGUAUAAUACCUUACAUGUAUAAACUUCUUAUAAGGUUGGUGCUCUGUACCGAAUUGAAUAGUAUCCCCCAAAAUUCAUGUUGUCCCAGAACCUAUGAAAGUGAUCUUACUUGAGGGAGGGGGGAGGGGGGAGGGAUAGCAUUAGGAGAUAUACCUAAUGCUAAAUGACGAGUUAAUGGGUGUAGCACACCAGCAUGGCACAUGUAUACAUAUGUAACUAACCUGCACAUUGUGCACAUGUACCCUAAAACUUAAAGUAUAAUAAUAAUAAAAUAAAAAAAAAAAAGAAAGUGAUCUUACUUGGAAAUAAGGUCUUUGCACAUAUGAUCAAGUUGAGAUGAAGUUGUACUGGAAAGUCUGUCUAGUGACUGGUGUUGUCAUAAGAAGAGAGGGACACAGAGGGAAGAUGGCCACAUGAAGAUGGAGGCAGAGAUUGCAGUUAUGCUGCUGCAAACUAAGGAAUGGCUCUGGCCCUCCAAGGAUUGCUGAUAACCACCAGAAACUAGAAGAGACAAGGAAGGAUUCUUCCCUAGAGCCUUCAGAGGGAGCAUGGCCCUACUGACACCUGGAUUUCAAACUUGUAGCUUCCUAAACUGCAAGAGAAUAAAUUUCUGUUGUUUUAAGCCA
rnacentral:lncRNA from 1 species